GAUGAACGCUGGCGGCGUGCCUAAUACAUGCAAGUCGAGCGAACGGACGAGAAGCUUGCUUCUCUGAUGUUAGCGGCGGACGGGUGAGUAAAACGUGGAUAACCUACCUAUAAGACUGGGAUAACUUCUGGAAACCGGAGCUAAUACCGGAUAAUAUUUUGAACCGCAUGGUUCAAAAGUGAAAGACGGUCUUGCUGUCACUGAUAGAUGGAUCCGCGCUGCAUUAGCUAGUUGGUAAGGUAACGGCUUACCAAGGCAACGAUGCAUAGCCGACCUGAGAGGGUGAUCGGCCACGCUGGCACUGAGACACGGUCCAGACUCCUACGGGAGGCAGCAGUAGGGAAUCUUCCGCAAUGGGCGAAAGCCUGACGGAGCAGCGCCGCGUGAGUGAUGAAGGUCUUCGGAUCGUAAAACUCUGUUAUUAGGGAAGAACAUAUGUGUAAGUAACUGUGCACAUCUUGACGGUACCUAAUCAGAAAGCCACGGCUAACUACGUG
rnacentral:rRNA from 1 species